rnacentral:rRNA from 1 species
AGUGAACGCUGGCGGUAGGCCUAACACAUGCAAGUCGAACGGCAGCACAGUAAGAGCUUGCUCUUACGGGUGGCGAGUGGCGGACGGGUGAGGAAUACAUCGGAAUCUACUUUUUCGUGGGGGAUAACGUAGGGAAACUUACGCUAAUACCGCUUACGACCUACGGGUGAAAGCAGGGGAUCUUCGGACCUUGCGCGAUUGAAUGAGCCGAUGUCGGAUUAGCUAGUUGGCGGGGUAAAGGCCCACCAAGGCGACGAUCCGUAGCUGGUCUGAGAGGAUGAUCAGCCACACUGGAACUGAGACACGGUCCAGACUCCUACGGGAGGCAGCAGUGGGGAAUAUUGGACAAUGGGCGCAAGCCCGAUCCAGCCAUACCGCGUGGGUGAAGAAGGCCUUCGGGUUGUAAAGCCCUUUUGUUGGGAAAGAAAAGCAGCAGGUUAAUACCCCGCUGUUCUGACGGUACCCAAAGAAUAAGCACCGGCUAACUUCGUG